AGAGGCCUUUCUCCUAGGCAUAGUCGGCCAAUUGGUGCCAAAGAAGGACAGAACUUUUUUUAUGUAUGCCACAACAGCAGCAAGAAUUCUCAUUGCAAAGUAUUGGAAGACACAAGAUCUACCCACCUUGGAAGAAUGGCAGAUGAAGGUAAUGGACUAUAUGGAAUUGGCGGAAAUGACUGGCAGAAUCCGAGACCAGGGAGAAGAGUCGAUGGAAGAAGAUUGGAAAAAGUUUAAAGA